GAGGAUGCGAGCGUUAUCCGGAUUUAUUGGGUUUAAAGGGUGCGCAGGCGGCGCGUCAAGUCAGCGGUAAAAUGUCGGGGCUCAACCCCGGCCGGCCGUUGAAACUGACGUGCUGGAGUUGGAGAGAAGUACGCGGAAUUCGUGGUGUAGCGGUGAAAUGCUUAGAUAUCACGAAGAACUCCGAUUGCGAAGGCAGCGUACCGGCUCCAUACUGACGCUGAGGCACGAAAGCGUGGGGAUCGAA
rnacentral:rRNA from 1 species